CUGUACUGCAAGGUCAAAUUUUCCUGUUACUCCAGAAAUUUCUUCAUUGGCUUCCUACUUUUGCAUUCCAGUCCCGUAUAAUGAAAAGGACAUCUUUCUUGGGUGUUAUAGAAUGUCUUGUAUGUCUUCAGUGAACCAUUCAACUUCAACUUCUUCAGCAUUACUGGUCAGGACAUAGACUUGGAUAACUGUGAUAUUGAGUGGUUUGCACUGGAAAGAGAUCAUUCUGUCGUUUUUGA